CACUGGUAGACACCAGGGUCAGGGGAAAAUACUGUGUUUCACUUCGAGAGACAAGAUGGCCCUCAGGGACUUUUCCCUUUUCGAUGCUGCCAGUUCCAGGACACAGAUGAACAUGCCGCACAGGAGCUUGGCGCACAUGGCAGCAUCAGAUGCAGAAAGCCUGGCACUGUGAUGAAUUGAAUUCCUGGUACCAACACUUCCUUCUACUUCCUGGCCCAGAGAGACCACUCCCUCCUCUCACACAGUGUCAGAGACUUUGAAGGGUUACUUUUUGUGUCCCUCUGUCUUUCCUUCCUCUCAGGAGCAAGGAGAGGUGGAUUUGUUCUGCUUAGCAGAGGUUAACACCCAAGUGUUGGUGCACUGAGUGGCAGGGAAGUUCUUUGAAAAGCCCUGUGAGCUCAGGGAUCAUUGUAGAGGCCCCUGCUGGAAGAGUCUGUCCCUGCACAUUUAUAGGAUUGCGGUUGAUCAUCUCUCAACAGCAAGAGGUUAUGGAAGAGAAAUCUGAAGAGAAAGAUGAGAAAAAGGUGGAGAAAUCCUUCACUUCAAAUGAGAUUAGAGAAAUAUGUAAAAUGUGGGAAACAGUCCAAAAUUUUGUAGAAAACACCACCCAAAUAAGUCCAUAGUGGUGCAAAUGAUGAAAUCUGCUGAACAACAAUGCAAUGUCACAUUCCUCCAAAAUACUCAAAAGCAGGUAAAAGCAAGUGUCAUUCGAUAGGUUCCAUGUUAAAGUUCCAAGAAAAGAAAGAUUCCAGUGAGCCAAAUGAUAGCAGUGAUUCCUUUAGUGACAGUGAAAGUCAUCCUACACAAUAACUCUCUUCUCUCUUGUCUCCCUCAUUCCAGCCAUGAAGGUUUUCAAAGAUAAUGAACUGGAUUGGAGCAGGAGAAGGACCUCAGAUAUGUGAUCCAUUUGGAAGAUGUUAAAGAUUAUUCAAGAAGGGGACAUAGUUGCCUAAAGUUAGGGUCAGAAAAUGGUGGAAUUUGAGAACAUUUAAUAAGUAGAUAUUUAAAAGAUCUGAUAGGAAGAAAAGGGGCAAAGGGGAAGGGGAAGUGGGCGGGGUAAAGGAAAGGAAAGGAAAGAAGGGAAUGGAAUUAAUAUGAGAAAAUGGAAAAAUGGAAACAAAAUCUUUGUAAAUAGGGAGGGAUGGAGGGGUUGAAGGGAGCACAGAGGAAGGGGGAAAAAUAAGAACCAAGAGAGAUUAUGUAAAGGUGCAAAUUUCCAAUGAUGAAUGUCAUUAUAUUGUAUACCUAAAAUGUACCAAUGAUUAAAAUGAAUUAUUGAUAAUGUGAAAUAGGAAAAAAAGGUCCAAAG
ensembl:lncRNA